CUAGUUAUCAGUUCUCCACAGAAUUUGUUCUUGCUUCUGUUCCUCGGACAAAUUCCAGAAGAUAAGUGAGGUGAGCAGGCACAAUGAAGGUGUUAUCAAACUCUGCAUGUGUAUUUCCAAGAGAACCACAAAACCAUCUCUUGUUCUACUUGGAAGUAACAAAAAUGAGAUAACUGUGGCUAAUUAUGGAGAGAGAUACUCCCCAAAUCUGGAUUUACGUAAUUCUGUCUCCAUUCACUGUACCAGUCUGGCUUGUGUUGAAGGGGGCUGAAACAGAAGAUGGGCCUGAACUUGGCAGAGCAACUCAGUUCAGCAUUAAUGAAAAGGAAACAUGCAUAAGAAGAGGCUUCUUGGUGUCCAGAAAUACAGACACAGGACCAAACCCCUGCCCAGCACUGCAACUGCACUUCUGCUGUUAGUUUUUGCAACUAAACUGGAAAAAAAAUUUGACAUUCACUCCGGAAAGAAAGGAAACUCAACAGAUUCUUACACAAUUUAAGGUUGAAAUCAAAUCCAAAAAUGUCUCAUAAUUUUGCCUUUCCCAUUUAUGCAUUAUGUUCUUCUCGUUCAAAUUUAACCUUCAUGGUACAUUCAGAGCAAAUAAUUCAACUUAUGUUAAAACAGCAUGGUUUUGGUUGGGUCUUUUUUUUUUUUUCUGAGUUAAUAGUGCAAAAAUUUCCCCAAAAAUUUUCAGGUUUCCUUUGAAAAGAAGAGCUUCUGGUCUAUGACUUAUUUCAUUUUACACCUUAAGAAAUUAUGUAAAUAAAAAAAAUAAUAAUAAUGUCAUGAAUGUGAUAGUGCUGAAAUAAAUCUUGUAAUACCAUCU
rnacentral:lncRNA from 7 species